rnacentral:rRNA from 1 species
AUUGAACGCUGGCGGCAUGCUUUACACAUGCAAGUCGAGCGGCAGCGCGGGGGCAACCCUGGCGGCGAGCGGCGAACGGGUGAGUAAUGCAUCGGAACGUAUCCUCGAGUGGGGGAUAACCCAGCGAAAGUUGGGCUAAUACCGCAUGAGCUCUGAGGAGGAAAGCGGGGGACCUGCGAGGGCCUCGCGCUGGAGGAGCGGCCGAUGUCCGAUUAGCUAGUUGGUGGGGUAAAGGCUUACCAAGGCGACGAUCGGUAGCUGGUCUGAGAGGAUGAUCAGCCUCACUGGGACUGAGACACGGCCCAGACUCCUACGGGAGGCAGCAGUGGGGAAUUUUGGACAAUGGGGGCAACCCUGAUCCAGCCAUGCCGCGUGAGUGAAGAAGGCCUUCGGGUUGUAAAGCUCUUUCGGACGGAACGAAAUGGGCGGGACUAAUACUCCUGUCUGAUGACGGUACCGGAAGAAGAAGCACCGGCUAACUACGUG